GCAGAUCAGACGGGAUGCGG
rnacentral:rRNA from 1 species